UACAGAGGUCUCAAGCGUUGUUUGGAUUCAUUGGGCGUAAAGGGUGCGUAGGCGGCGCGGUAAGUCGGGUGUGAAAUCUUGGAGCUUAACUCCGAAACUGCAUUCGAUACUGCCGUGCUUGAGGACUGGAGAGGAGACUGGAAUUUACGGUGUAGCGGUGAAAUGCGUAGAUAUCGUAAGGAAGACCAGUGGCGAAGGCGGGGUCUCUGGACAGUUCCUGACGCUGAGGCACGAAGGCCAGGGGGAGCAAACGGG
rnacentral:rRNA from 1 species